rnacentral:misc_RNA from 1 species
GAUGAAGAACGCAGCGAAAUGCGAUAAGUAAUGUGAAUUGCAGAAUUCAGUGAAUCAUCGAAUCUUUGAACGCACAUUGCGCCCCCCAGUAUUCUGGCGGGCAUGCCUGUUCGAGCGUCAUUUCAACCAUCAAGCCCUGCUUGUGUUGGGGUCCUGCGGCUGCCCGCAGGCCCUGAAAACCAGUGGCGGGCUCGCUAGUCACACCGAGCGCAGUAGCACAUCUCGCUCAGGGCGUGCGGCGGGCUCCAGCCGUUAAAGCUCCCACCUUUCGCAAGGUUGACCUCGGAUCAGGUAGGAAUACCCGCUGAACUUAAGCAUAUCAAUAAGCGGAGGA